GACGAACGCUGGCGGCGUGCUUAACACAUGCAAGUCGAACGGAAAGGCCCUGCUUUUGUGGGGUGCUCGAGUGGCGAACGGGUGAGUAACACGUGAGUAACCUGCCCUUGACUUUGGGAUAACUUCAGGAAACUGGGGCUAAUACCGGAUAGGAGCUCCUGCUGCAUGGUGGGGGUUGGAAAGUUUCGGCGGUUGGGGAUGGACUCGCGGCUUAUCAGCUUGUUGGUGGGGUAGUGGCUUACCAAGCCUUUGACGGGUAGCCGGCCUGAGAGGGUGACCGGCCACAUUGGGACUGAGAUACGGCCCAGACCCCUACGGGAGGCAGCAGUGGGGAAUAUUGCACAAUGGGCGGAAGCCUGAUGCAGCAACGCCGCGUGCGGGAUGACGGCCUUCGGGUUGUAAACCGCUUUCGCCUGUGACGAAGCGUGAGUGACGGUAAUGGGUAAAGAAGCACCGGCUAACUACGUG
rnacentral:rRNA from 1 species